CCAAGACUGGAGUAUUGCAAGACAAAAUGGACAAACUUGAUUCAGUCCAGUUGGUAAAGAAUGACAGAGGAGAUAAUAUCCUUAUCUACUUCAUGUCUGAUGGAACAGUGUUUAGAGUGCUUGAAGCAGAUCUAUAUGCUAAACACUGGGAAGAAUUGAGAUAUGUAUCAUACAUAUUUCAAGUAAAGAACAAGUCAGGACAACACAUCUCCAACCUGC
rnacentral:lncRNA from 1 species